AUUUAAGCAGAAUAUUGUAUGAACUGAGAAGCUAUGCCAUUCUGAUUCUGAAUAGAGAAAUAGGAUAAGUGUAUAGCUUACUGGCCUAAAUAGGAUAGCCAUAACCUGCAGGUUAUGAUGGUUUUGCUAUCUUCCCGUACAAAUUCUGUUAUGUUAGACAAAAAGAGUACAUGUGGCUUGCCAAUAACAUGAAACUGAAUAUCGUUGCCACCAUUACGAUUGAUAGCCACCGAAUCAUGUUAAAUUGAAUGUACACAAGACUUGUAUUUAUACAUCAAACUAUAAUUCUCCAGGAGAAUUGGAAGGUGGUGUGGUUUUAUAUAGCAAACAACAGUUCCGUGGAAAAAAAUCAAAUGUGUUUAAGUCUACAACAGAGACAAUCAUAUCUGCAAACAGUAACACAUCUAUAUAGCGCGCGAUGGUUCGUUUGAUAGAACUUUCAGGAUCCCAUGAGCUGUAUUUUGAACUAAAUCAAAUGUGCCCUACAUGAUCAUAAAAUAAACAACAAUGUUUGCAACAUCAAAUUGUUCCCCAAAACAUUACCCUGGGAUAUUAAUUACCAUGUUAAACAUGUGUCCUCACAUAAAAAUUGACGUAUAUAGCUGGAGCAGAGCCGGAUGCACUUACAGAGACAUGCACUUAUAGAGACGGUAAUCUUCAUAUAAUACCCUGAUAUAAGAAAACAAAGACAGUAACUAGUCAUGGCAGGAAAAAGUUAUAUAUAAAUUGCAAUUGUGCAUGUACUUCUCGAGUCGCUUCUCCUACCUCAAUAGAGAAUAGCAUCCAUGGGAGAUCAAGACUCCUUGCUGAGUAGAUCGGGACUGGUGAGGAGGCACUCCGUCCUGUAUCCGAACCAGAGAACCCAUGGAGCUAAGGUGGAGCCUGGUGUGGUCGUCAUUAGAACAGAAUCGAGUCAGCUUUAAGAAAUGAAACUUAGGCAGUUACAUUCUAUGCUAGUGGAUUACAACAAACAGUUUUGAACUUAUCUAAGUCAUGAAAUAAUUCAUGUAUUGCUGACCCACUUAAC
rnacentral:lncRNA from 1 species